ACAGCAACUGCUGGAGCCGGAAAAGUAUUGCCGAAAACAGGCGAAGAGAGCCGUCUGCUGCUUCAAUUGCUUGGUGUUGGACUCAUCGUUCUUGGUGCUUGGCUCUUUAGAAGAACACGCACCACACGCAACAUGUAAUAGAUUAUAAAUACGGUUAAGCAUGAGCCUGCUGAUUCUUUUCAGCAGGCUUUUCCUAUGUCCAGUGAUUGAUGAAGUGCUCAGACUUAAGUCCAAUAGGAAACCAAUCCUCGGACAGUGUUAGCACUUGAUCUUUUUCGAUAAACUCAAUGUUGUCAGCUCGGAGGAACAAGGAUGGAGAGAGGCUACGAGGUGAAGACAUUGGGCAAGAAACAUGAGAUCAUCCAAUCUGAAAGCCAUAUUUAUGUGCUGCUGACCGAAACAGGUACCUUGUUCGGAAGACUGAUCAAACAAUUUACCUAUGCACCCUAUAAUCAUGCCACACUGGCACUGGACAUUGAACUGAACGACUUGUACAGCUUUGGUCGCAAGCAGGCGACGAAUCCCUGGAACGCAGGCUUUGUCCGGGAGGAUGUCUACGAAGGCGC
rnacentral:rRNA from 1 species